rnacentral:rRNA from 1 species
GUGGGGAAUAUUGGACAAUGGGCGAAAGCCUGAUCCAGCCAUGCCGCGUGUGUGAAGAAGGUCUUCGGAUUGUAAAGCACUUUAAGUUGGGAGGAAGGGCAGUAAGUUAAUACCUUGCUGUUUUGACGUUACCGACAGAAUAAGCACCGGCUAACUUCGUGCCAGCAGCCGCGGUAAUACGAAGGGUGCAAGCGUUAAUCGGAAUUACUGGGCGUAAAGCGCGCGUAGGUGGUUUUGUAAGUUGGAGGUGAAAUCCCCGGGCUCAACCUGGGAACUGCCUCCAAAACUGCAUGACUAGAGUACGGUAGAGGGUAGUGGAAUUUCCUGUGUAGCGGUGAAAUGCGUAGAUAUAGGAAGGAACACCAGUGGCGAAGGCGACUACCUGGACUGAUACUGACACUGAGGUGCGAAAGCGUGGGGAGCAAACAGGAUUAAAAACCCCUGUAGUCC